rnacentral:rRNA from 1 species
GAUUAAGUUAUUAAGGGCGCACGGUGGAUGCCUUGGCACUAGAAGCCGAUGAAGGACGUUACUAACGACGAUAUGCUUUGGGGAGCUGUAAGUAAGCUUUGAUCCAGAGAUUUCCGAAUGGGGAAACCCAGCAUGAGUUAUGUCAUGUUAUCGAUAUGUGAAUACAUAGCAUAUCAGAAGGCACACCCGGAGAACUGAAACAUCUUAGUACCCGGAGGAAGAGAAAGAAAAUUCGAUUCCCUUAGUAGCGGCGAGCGAAACGGGAAGAGCCCAAACCAACAAGCUUGCUUGUUGGGGUUGUAGGACACUCUAUACGGAGUUACAAAGGACGACAUUAGACGAAUCAUCUGGAAAGAUGAAUCAAAGAAGGUAAUAAUCCUGUAGUCGAAAAUGUUGUCUCUCUUGAGUGGAUCCUGAGUACGACGGAGCACGUGAAAUUCCGUCGGAAUCUGGGAGGACCAUCUCCUAAGGCUAAAUACUCUCUAGUGACCGAUAGUGAACCAGUACCGUGAGGGAAAGGUGAAAAGCACCCCGGAAGGGGAGUGAAAUAGAACCUGAAACCGUGUGCUUACAAGUAGUCAGAGCCCGUUAAUGGGUGAUGGCGUGCCUUUUGUAGAAUGAACCGGCGAGUUACGAUUUGAUGCAAGGUUAAGCAGUAAAUGUGGAGCCGUAGCGAAAGCGAGUCUGAAUAGGGCGUUUAGUAUUUGGUCGUAGACCCGAAACCAGGUGAUCUACCCUUGGUCAGGUUGAAGUUCAGGUAACACUGAAUGGAGGACCGAACCGACUUACGUUGAAAAGUGAGCGGAUGAACUGAGGGUAGCGGAGAAAUUCCAAUCGAACCUGGAGAUAGCUGGUUCU